GUGCUUGCCUCGGUAGCACAUGUACUAAGGUUGUAACAAUACAGAGAAAAUUAGCAUGGUCCCUACAGAGGGGUGACGGGCAGGUCUGAGGAGUGUUCCACAAAUAG